rnacentral:rRNA from 1 species
UACAGAGGUCCCAAGCGUUGUUCGGAUUCACUGGGCGUAAAGGGUGCGUAGGUGGCCAGGUAAGUUCGGUGUGAAAGCUCGGAGCUUAACUCCGAAAUGGCAUUGAAUACUAUCUGGCUGGAGGGUCGGAGGGGAGACUGGAAUUCUCGGUGUAGCAGUGAAAUGCGUAGAUAUCGAGAGGAACACCAGUGGCGAAGGCGAGUCUCUGGACGACUCCUGACGAGCUGAGGCACGAAAGCCAGGGGAGCAAACAGG